rnacentral:misc_RNA from 1 species
GAUGAAGAACGCAGCGAAAUGCGAUAAGUAAUGUGAAUGCAGAAUUCAGUGAAUCAUCGAAUCUUUGAACGCACAUUGCGCCCCUUGGUAUUCCGAGGGGCAUGCCUGUUCGAGCGUCAUUACACCACUCAAGCUAUGCUUGGUAUUGGGCGUCGUCCUUAGUUGGGCGCGCCUUAAAGACCUCGGCGAGGCCACUCCGGCUUUAGGCGUAGUAGAAUUUAUUCGAACGUCUGUCAAAGGAGAGGAACUCUGCCGACUGAAACCUUUAUUUUUCUAGGUUGACCUCGGAUCAGGUAGGGAUACCCGCUGAACUUAAGCAUAUCAAUAAGCGGAGGA